rnacentral:rRNA from 1 species
UACGAAGGGGGCUAGCGUUGUUCGGAGUUACUGGGCGUAAAGGGCGCGUAGGCGGCCCUCCAAGUCGGGCGUGAAAGCCCACGGCUCAACCGUGGAAUUGCGCUCGAGACUGAAGGGCUCGAGGACGGGAGAGGAUGGUGGAAUUCCCAGUGUAGCAGUGAAAUGCGUAGAUAUCGGGAGGAAUACCGAUGGCGAAGGCAGGUCUCUGGGCUGACACUGACGCUCAUGCACGAAAGCGUGGGGAGCAAACAGG